GAUUCUGGCUACAGAACGAACGCUGGCGGCAUGGAUUAGGCAUGCAAGUUGAACGAACUCCUUCGGGAGUGAGUAGCGGAAGGGUGAGGAACGCGUGAGUAAUCUGCCCCCCAGUUGGGAAUAACAGUUGGAAACGACUGCUAAUACCGAAUGUGGCUUAAGCUUCGCCUGGAGCUUUGGCUAAAGAUUUAUCGCUGGGGGAUGAGCUCGCGUCCCAUUAGGUAGUUGGUGAGGUAACGGCUCACCAAGCCGACGAUGGGUAGCUGGUCUGAGAGGAUGGUCAGCCACACUGGGACUGAGACACUGCCCAGACUCCUACGGGAGGCUGCAGUCGAGAAUCUUGGGCAAUGCGCGAAAGCGUGACCCAGCAAUGCCGCGUGUAUGAUGAAGGCCCUCGGGUCGUAAAGUACUGUCUCCCGUGACGAAAUUUGACGGUAGCGGGGAAGGAAGCCACGGCUAACUACGUGCCAGCCGCGGC
rnacentral:rRNA from 1 species